UACGUAGGGGGCUAGCGUUGUCCGGAAUCAUUGGGCGUAAAGAGCGUGUAGGCGGCCCGGUAAGUCCGCUGUAAAAGUCAAAGGCUCAACCUUUGAAUGUCAGUGGAUACUGUCGGGCUAGAGUCCGGAAGAGGAAAGUGGAAUUCCUGGUGUAGCGGUGAAAUGCGCAGAUAUCAGGAAGAACACCCGUGGCGAAGGCGGCUUUCUGGGACGGUACUGACGCUGAGGCACGAAGGCCAGGGGAGCAAACGGG
rnacentral:rRNA from 1 species